AUGCAAAAUGAGGCAGAACUUAGCUUGUCACAUAGGUGUAUUCUUCCUGGAACCGAUGCGGGGUCAGAAAACUGAUGGCUUUUAAGCAAGCUGGACGGGUCCUCUCAGCGCAUUCCCCCACCCGCCUGGCGCCAAUGGAGCUGGCCUGGCCCGCCCAGCCCCUCCCCGCCCCGUCCGCGCUCGGACCGGACUUUCAGGACUGCAGGGGAAAGGGUGGACACCCAGCCUCCCGCCAGGUCAGAGCAGAGGCUAAAAAUGGCCCAGGGGAGACUGCUGGAGUUGCAUGGAGUUCGGGAGCCUAGGAGGGGUCUGAAAAUAACUGUCAAAAAGUUUGAAGGCUACUAAAGACUAUCCCUCCUGACAAACACACACCCUCUUUUUUUUUUUUUUUUUUUAACUGGUUGACAGAUCUUUUUUGCAUCAUCACCAUUUUCAGUUUAGAUUCUUACUAGGUGGGAUAAAUUUCACCAUUCUAAUAUCAGCCAUCACCAUUAUGCCUGGUGAAAAAUACAGAAUGUCUGGGCUGCAUCCUCAGAGUGUCUAAUUCGGUGUUUAUGGGAAAGGGACCCAGGAGAAUCUGCAUACCCAGCAAUCCAUGUUUUCAGGGUUGUGGCUUGGGAAAGAACUGUUCCAGACUUCUGCACUUCCUAAGGACCUAUUUUGUAGAUGUUGCAGUGGACGGAAUGUUUGUGCUUUCCCUUAAAUUCAUUUGUUAAAAUCCUAACCCCAAUGUGAUGGUAUUAGGAGAUGGGGCCUUUGGGAGGUAAUUCAUAGCAUAGAGGCCGCAUGAAUGCGAUUAGUGCCCUUAUAAAAAAGGGACCCAGAGAGCUGUCUCCAUCUUUCUGCCACAGGAGGAUACAAAAAUACAUCAGUUUGCAAACCAGAAGAAGGUCCUCACCAGAAACCAACUAUGCUGGCACCCUGAUCUUGGACUUCUAGCCUCCAGAACUGUGAGAAAUAAAUGUGUGUUUAUAAACCAGUCAGUCAGUCUAUGGUGCUUUAUUAUAGCAUCUGGAACGAGCUAAGACAGCUGCUAAGUAGCAUUCCAUUUGACAAGGAAGACUUACCAUUCACACUACUUCUGAGUUCAAUGAAAGAGAGGCUCGCAAUAGAAAACUUAUACAGUACUUUCUAUGGUCAGUUGUGAUCAUAAAAAGAGAGUAAGAAGAAAAACAACUCUGAAAGACAAGAUUUGGUUUCUCUCUUUCAUUGUACACAUAAAAUAAGACUUGACCAUCUGGAAAAAGGAAGCCUGAGAAUGAAUAUAUAAGAAGAGGACAUAAAAUGGUGGAAAGAGAAAGCAUGGUUUUAGCAGCCAAAUUCUGAAAUAAGGCUAAACCUACAUGGAGGCAUUUCUUCAGCUUGAAGGAAGGAAUUUAACCCAAAGACAUUGGAAAAUGACUUGACAGAGUCACACAGGAAAUUGUUGUAGGAAUUAGAACUAGAAAUCUGGUCUCCUGAUGAUCAUUUCUAGGAAUGGCUACUAAAAAAUCAAAGAAAAAGAUUUCAAUAGAACUAGAAAUCUGGUCUCCUGAUGAUCAUUUCUAGGAAUGGCUACUAAAAAAUCAAAGAAAAAGAUUUCAAUCAUCUUAAAGCAAACAGUCUCAUACUGGAGUGGUGAGGAUGGUAAAUUUUAAAGAAAACAGGCCCUCUUUGAUGUAACACUGGUUAACCCAUUAAGCCACAGUCUCUACUAUUACAGCUUUUGGAUGUGACCAAAUCUCUCCAAAUUGAAGUAACAAGCAAGGCCAAAGCAGCCACACUCUUUUUGGGUGGAUUUGUCUCCCCUACACACCAUUCUUUCCCAUAUACUAGAUGUUUAGUAACUUUUGUCUCAGAUAGACUGAAGACACUAAAAGCUGCUAUUGUUCAUUAAAAAGCAAGGCCAAAGACAUGCUGGGCUAAUAUGGUACACUAAAGUUGGUAAUUUGAUUGGUUUGGACUGAUUGCCUACAACUGUCUGAUUAAAUGUUAAAAUACAAAAAUUACAGGAUAUCAUUAUAUCUGGGGGAAAUAAUGUAAUGCCUGCACAACCCAAGCCAUAUCCUAUUACUCUUCCCUAUGAAGGGCCUGGAUGUCAUUCAAUUUUUCCAAAGUAAAGCAAGGUGCAAGGUCAAAAUAGACCCACAAUGUAAUCUGUCCUCUCUCAGAAUGUAAUAACGUUACUUUCUUACUGGCUUUGUUAGUUACAGGCUAACGUCAACCACAGUCUUAACAACCUGACGGAACAGGUUCAGAGACCUGGGAGCCUGAAGGGAAAAUGAAAAUAACAAAAACAAAAAACAAGAAAGGUGCUGGCUGAACAAUGGCUAAAAUGAAAAUAGCACACAAAGUUAAAAAUUGAAAAACCUAAGAGAGAGAGAGAUAGUAUAUGUGUACGUAUAUGUACGUAUAUGUAUAUUUACUUCCCCUAGGUUAGGAUAUAGAAGGUCCUCAAGCCUGCUUUUAUUUAACUUUGCUGAAAGUUUUUCAGUAGUUUUCCAUCUUUAUGUUCAGACCACAUAAGAAAAUGUCCAAAUAAACCAUCAGAAAGAUUUACAUGUUUUAUAACAAGGAGCCACUUAACUAAACAGACCCAGAAAUUCUCAAUGCCAUUUAGGUAGAUUUCAUCUAUUCACUUGCAUAAAACAUCUGGUGCUCACCA
rnacentral:lncRNA from 1 species